GAUGAACGCUGGCGGCGUGCCUAAUACAUGCAAGUCGAGCGAACAGACGAGGAGCUUGCUCCUCUGACGUUAGCGGCGGACGGGUGAGUAACACGUGGAUAACCUACCUAUAAGACUGGGAUAACUUCGGGAAACCGGAGCUAAUACCGGAUAAUAUAUUGAACCGCAUGGUUCAAUAGUGAAAGACGGUUUUGCUGUCACUUAUAGAUGGAUCCGCGCCGCAUUAGCUAGUUGGUAAGGUAACGGCUUACCAAGGCAACGAUGCGUAGCCGACCUGAGAGGGAGGGGGGCCACACGGGAACUGAGACCCGGUCCAGCCUCCUAGGGGGGGCAGAGGGAGGGAAUCUUCAGAAAGGGGCGAAAGCCUGUAGGAGCAACGCGGGGGGAUGGAGGAAGUUCUUGGGACCAAAAAACUCUUUUAUGGGGAAAAAAAAAAUGUGUAAGAAACAAGCCCCGUUUUGGGGGACCCAAACAAAAAGACCAGGGCAACCCACGUG
rnacentral:rRNA from 1 species